rnacentral:misc_RNA from 1 species
GUGAAUUUGCAAUUAUUUCAGCAACUUGGUUCUACAACUUCCUUCACAACUAAUCCAAUUUCCAUAAGAGUUAUAUUUAACAAAAUAGAUAAACAGUGCACUUGCUUAUGUAAACACGUUGAUAGUACAUAAACAUCCCUCAAUUCAUGUGGUUCAUCAACAUCUCAAGUCACAUGCUUAUGUAAGAUUGAAGUACCAACAUUGACUACACUAGAGAGAAUGCGAUGGAAGGUGUUGAUCAUGAGGGCCUGAAACUAAAUUCUGAUUGAUUUACAUGUUGGAGUAGCCUACGCCUUCAUAACUGCAGAAAAGCUCUUUUAACAGGUCACCUAUAGAAAAUCAUUGCAAAAUAUUAUUGCAUGAGUAUAAUAACUAGCAAAAUAUAUAGGAAUUAUCAAACAAAUUAAAUAUAUACAGGAAUUAUCAAUCCUCAAUGUCAAAUAAUAUAAAUUCUAUAACAUCACCAGAAGCAAUGGAAUGGAUUGCAAUACUCUCUAGUUACUGCCCUUUUUUUUUUGUGACAUCCACUUGCUGUCAGGAGCCUUUCGGAAUUUCAUUUCAAAGUUUGAAAAACAAUUCACCAACUUGAUCUCUCAUUCAGACCUUCUUGGUAAGAGGUACAACCUUGUACAUCAGUAUAUGUUUAUAAUUAGGCCUAAAAUCUGAUACAUGUAACUCAUUGUAUAACAAUUUCUGGAUUGAUAGCACCUAAACUUGUCUAUCUGUCAAGUAAAACCUAACAUAUAAUCAUUUUCUUAUCAAAAGUUACCACUUUACUAAGCAACUGAGUACUCGCAUUAUUAUAGAGUCUUGCCCUGCCUAAGACUAAAUUUCAAAGCCCAACAUCUUGCCAGAGAACAUAGGCAAGUGGCAGAGCUCGGCUAUCCUGAAACAUAUUAAAAGAACUAGAAAUUGAGAAUGAAAAGCGAAAUAUAUAUAUAUGUAAUGACUGUGACUAACUUCCUUAUUAGUCACAACCGGUGCAUACAACUCUUGUUAAUAAACAACCCUUCAGUCUUAUGCAAAGCAUGAGAAAAGCUGGAGUCAUCAUACAUGUAGACACUGUGAAGCACUACUAGUAUCUGCUGUCUUCAGAUUGUGGAGUGAAUGAGAAACAGGAAUCCCCAUCUAGUGCACAAACAAAUAUUAAUAUUGAUGACACAACAUUUGAAGGUUGGGGUGUGGGUUUGGUAUCAUUGCACGCAAUAGAAAUGGAAAGGUCAUGCUUGCUGCGUCAAAAAGGGAGCAGACCAAAUAUCUUGUGGUUGUGGCUGAGGUGCAUGCAAUGAAAUGGGUGUGGAGCUAACACUUUAUUUGGGUCGUUCAGACAUAAUUGUUGAAACAGAUUCAUCCUUUGUGAUUAAAUAGAUGCAAGAGAAAACACGGACUUUCCUCCCUGAAUUUGGUGGUAAAUGAUAUUUAAUGAUUAACUGUCAAAAUUCUGCACUUACGCUUAUAGACAUGUCAUAUGUCAGCAAACUCUAUGUCUUACUAAUUAGGUAGGAAUGCUGUUAAUAAAUAAAAAUAAAAUAAAAUAAA